rnacentral:rRNA from 1 species
UACGUAGGGUGCGAGCGUUAUUCGGAAUUACUGGGCGUAAAGCGUGCGCAGGCGGCGCGUUAAGACAGGUGUGAAAGCCCCGAGCUUAACUUGGGAAUUGCGCUUGUGACUGGCGUGCUGGAGUGUGGCAGAGGGAGGUGGAAUUCCACGUGUAGCAGUGAAACGCGUAGAGAUGUGGAGGAACACCGAUGGCGAAGGCAGCCUCCUGGGCCAGCACUGACGCUCAUGCACGAAAGCGUGGGGAGCAAACAGG